UCUGGCAUGGUCUAGUGGUUAGGAUACCUGGCUCAAACAGGAAGACCGGGUUCAAUUCCCGGUGCGGAA